rnacentral:rRNA from 1 species
AUUGAGCGCUGGCGGCAUGCUUUACACAUGCAAGUCGAACGGUAACAGGCCGCAAGGUGCUGACGAGUGGCGAACGGGUGAGUAAUGCAUCGGAACGUGCCCAGUCGUGGGGGAUAACGCAGCGAAAGCUGUGCUAAUACCGCAUACGAUCUAUGGAUGAAAGCGGGGGACCGUAAGGCCUCGCGCGAUUGGGGCGGCCGAUGUCAGAUUAGGUAGUUGGUGGGGUAAAGGCCCACCAAGCCAACGAUCUGUAGCUGGUCUGAGAGGACGACCAGCCACACUGGGACUGAGACACGGCCCAGACUCCUACGGGAGGCAGCAGUGGGGAAUUUUGGACAAUGGGCGCAAGCCUGAUCCAGCAAUGCCGCGUGCAGGAAGAAGGCCUUCGGGUUGUAAACUGCUUUUGUACGGAACGAAACGGUCUGGGUUAAUACCCUGGGCUAAUGACGGUACCGUAAGAAUAAGCACCGGCUAACUACGUGCCAGCCGCCGCGGUAAGAC